rnacentral:rRNA from 1 species
ACUCCUACGGGAGGCAGCAGUAGGGAAUCUUCCACAAUGGACGAAAGUCUGAUGGAGCAACGCCGCGUGAGUGAAGAAGGUUCUCGGAUCGUAAAACUCUGUUGUGAGGGAAGAACAAGUACCGGAGUAACUGCCGGUACCUUGACGGUACCUCAUUAGAAAGCCACGGCUAACUACGUGCCAGCAGCCGCGGUAAUACGUAGGUGGCAAGCGUUGUCCGGAAUCAUUGGGCGUAAAGCGCGCGCAGGCGGUCCCUUAAGUCUGAUGUGAAAGCCCACGGCUCAACCGUGGAGGGUCAUUGGAAACUGGGGGACUUGAGUGCAGAAGAGGAAAGCGGAAUUCCAAGUGUAGCGGUGAAAUGCGUAGAGAUUUGGAGGAACACCAGUGGCGAAGGCGGCUUUCUGGUCUGUAACUGACGCUGAGGCGCGAAAGCGUGGGGAGCAAACAGGAUUAGAUACCCUGGUAGUCCACGCCGUAAACGAUGAGUGCUAAGUGUUAGGGGGUUUCCGCCCCUUAGUGCUGCAGCUAACGCAUUAAGCACUCCGCCUGGGGAGUACGGUCGCAAGACUGAAACUCAAAGGAAUUGACGG